UACGAAGGGGGCUAGCGUUGCUCGGAAUCACUGGGCGUAAAGCGCACGUAGGCGGCUUACUAAGUCAGGGGUGAAAUCCUGGAGCUCAACUCCAGAACUGCCUUUGAUACUGGUAAGCUCGAGUCCGGGAGAGGUGAGUGGAACUGCGAGUGUAGAGGUGAAAUUCGUAGAUAUUCGCAAGAACACCAGUGGCGAAGGCGGCUCACUGGCCCGAUACUGACGCUGAGGCACGAAAGCGUGGGGAGCAAACAGG
rnacentral:rRNA from 1 species